UACGUAGGGUGCGAGCGUUUAAUCGGAAUUACUGGGCGUAAAGCGUGCGCAGGCGGUUUUGUAAGCCAGAUGUGAAAGCCCCGGGCUCAACCUGGGAAUGGCAUUUGGGACUGCAAGGCUUGAGUGCGGCAGAGGAGACUGGAAUUCCUGGUGUAGCAGUGAAAUGCGUAGAUAUCAGGAGGAACACCAAUGGCGAAGGCAGCUCGCUGGAACGGUAGCUGACGCUGAGGCGCGAAAGCGUGGGGAGCGAACAGG
rnacentral:rRNA from 1 species